rnacentral:rRNA from 1 species
UACGUAGGGGGCAAGCGUUGUCCGGAUUCAUUGGGCGUAAAGAGCGUGUAGGCGGCCAGGUAGGUCGGUUGUGAAAACUGGAGGCUCAACCUUCAGAGGUCGACCGAAACCAUCUGGCUAGAGUCCGGGAGAGGAGAGUGGAAUUCCUGGUGUAGCGGUGAAAUGCGCAGAUAUCAGGAAGAACACCCGUGGCGAAGGCGGUUGCCUGGAGCUUUGCUGACGCUGAGGCGCGAAAGCGUGGGGAGCGAUCCGG